AAAACUGCAUAGUAUUCCCCAAAGCAUCUGCAAUCUGAAAUCUCUUACACACCUUGAUAUGUCACAUUGUUUGAAUAUCACUGAAUUGCCAGAGAACAUAGGGGAUUUAAAAUUGCUGCAGGACCUUAAGAUAUCUGGAAGUGGAAUAAAAGCAUUACCAUCCUCCAUCAAUCAAUUGGAAAAUUUGGUUUCCUUACUGUGUAAAGGCUGUGAAGGUUUGACAUUGCCUCCUUUGACAGGUUUAUCCUGUUUACAGGUUAUGGAAUUAGAUAACUGUGGUAUAUUAGAUAUUCCCGGCAGUCUUGGGUCUUUAGUGUCAUUGAGAUCCUUAGAUUUAAGUGAAAACAAUUUUGAGAGUAUACCUGCAAGCAUUGAACAACUAUCUAAGUUGACAAAUCUUGGGUUAAGAGGUUGCAAGAGACUUAAAUUAUUACCAGAUCUUCCAUGCUUAGAAGUAUUGGGUGCAUUGGAUUGCACAUCUUUGGAAUCUGCAUCAACUUCAUUCCUUUUCCCAGAACACGAAGUCGAAGAUAGAACUAGAACUCAUCUUGACUUUCGUAAUUGCAUCAAUUUGGAUAAGGAGAAAGUAAUGGAGGAUGUAUCGGAAACGCAUCUGUUGAAACAUGAGGUAUGCUUCCUUUUCUCAGGUGUUACAAGGAUCAUCACGAUAAGUUUGGAUUUUAUUUUUUCAUAAAAUAAUGAAUGAUUUUCAUGUACAGAUUGUAAAAUUAAGUAUACCCGGGGAUGAAGUGCCUCAAAGGAUGAGAUAUAAGAACCAAAGUGGAUCUUCUCUCUCAUUCACGCUAGAUAAGCCAAACUUGAUUGGUGUUUCUUUAUGCCUUGUUUUUAAUCCCAAAAAUUAUUAUGGUGAUGAUGUUAGCCCUACUUGCGAAGCCCAAUUCAUUGAUAAAUCUGGACAUAACAGAGAUUUCGAUUUUGAUUUCCCUUAUUUAUGGGAGGUUGAUGAGUUAGAAUCAAAACAUGUGUCUUUGGAAUGAAUUGUUCAACAUGGAAGACAGUUUCGUUGAGGCCUCAUUUCAGUUCUGCCUUUACAAGUUCUCAUCCACACUUCAAUGUGCGGGUCCAUAUACCGAGGGUAUAAUUAAAUGUGGGUUACAUCCUAUAUAUGUUCGAGACAAUGGUGGUUGCAGAAAUAAAAAGAGAAGCAGAAAUCAAGAAGAUGAGGAAGAAGAACCUUCUCCCCUUAGAUUGAAACCAGAACAAAAACCUUACAACAGCACUAUCACCACGGCAGAGUCUUAUUAGGUGUUUGAGGACAACGAUCUAAAAGGACCUAUAAAGGCCAGUUCGACAUUUUUCCUGUCUCCAGUUUCUUGGGCAAUCCUGGACUGUGUGUUUCAAUUGUACAGCAGUUUUGUUGUGAUUAAACACAAACUACCAAUCCUAUUCUUGAAGAAUCCUCAAAUAACCCGCUUGUUUUUGGACUCAUUCCUGGACUUGCUUUUGAUUUAUUGUUGGAUCUACAACUGGGUUACUCUACUCCAUCCAUAGACUAAAGUUCCUGCAGAAGUUCAUUGAGUUCUUUUAUGCAAAAGAACACAGAAAGUCAUCUGUCCCACAUUGGCAUGCCUCCUCAUAAUGCUGAAUUCCAUUUAUAAAUAAGGCAUGUACCACUGAGAGGGACUAGAAAGGAUUAUUUGAUAGUUGAAAAUGUUAGAUCAUAUUGAAGAUGCUUAUCUACCCGCAUGCUUUGUAUAUUUCCAUGUACCUGUAUAUAUCAAGUGUGCAGGAUUCAAAUGUUUUAGUCA